CAAUAGCGUAUAUUAAAGUUGUUGCAGUUAAAAAGCUCGUAGUUGGAUUUGUGGUGUACGGUGGGUUCCGGGCACUUGUUGUCUGAGUAACUUGCUGUUGCCAUCCUUGGGUGGAACCUGUGUGGCAUUAGGUUGUCGUGCAGGGGAUGCCCAUCAUUUACUGUGAAAAAAUUAGAGUGUUCAAAGCAGGCUUAUGCCGUUGAAUAUAUUAGCAUGGAAUAAUGAGAUAGGACUUUUUUGCUAUUUUGUUGGUUUGCGCAAAGAGGUAAUGAUUAAUAGGGACAGUUGGGGGUAUUCGUAUUCCAUUGUCAGAGGUGAAAUUCUUGGAUUUUUGGAAGACGAACUACUGCGAAAGCAUUUACCAAGGAUGUUUUCAUUAA
rnacentral:rRNA from 1 species